rnacentral:rRNA from 1 species
GCCUACGGGGGGCAGCAGUGGGGAAUAUUGGGCAAUGGGCGCAAGCCUGACCCAGCAACGCCGCGUGAAGGAAGAAGGCUUUCGGGUUGUAAACUUCUUUUAUUCGGGACGAAGAAAGUGACGGUACCGAAUGAAUAAGCCACGGCUAACUACGUGCCAGCAGCCGCGGUAAUACGUAGGUGGCAAGCGUUAUCCGGAUUUAUUGGGUGUAAAGGGCGUGUAGGCGGGAAUGCAAGUCAGAUGUGAAACUCAGGGCUCAACCCUGAGCCUGCAUUUGAAACUUUAUUUCUUGA